AUCUACAGCCAUGCCACCCUGAACAAGCCUGAUGUCUAAUCUCGGAAGCUAAGCAAGAUCAGGCCUGGUUAGUACUUGGAUGGGAGACCACCUAGGAAUACCAGGUACUAUAGGCA
rnacentral:rRNA from 1 species